UUGUCUUGGGCAUUGUCUUUGUCUUUGUCUUGGGCAUUGUCUUUAUGAUACUUCGUGACUGUUGCAAGAAAAUUAAUGGUCGCUUUCCAUGGACAAAAGAACACCAACCAGCACCAACUGAAGAACAACCUGAACUAGAGGGAGUCACGACUGAAACUACAGCCAUGAAUGUGCCCUCAUCGGUUGAUGAUGUUGCAUAAGAACCAAGUGUUACUACAGAUUUAACAUCUAAAAAAGGGUGGCGGGAUCUUCUAAGGAAAAUAAAGCAGAGGGGGGGUAAAAGAAGGUGAAUGAGCUGUUUUUAUACGAUAGUCUACGAUCCUGCCAUAUCUCCAAGGGCCCCUGUGGGCAGUGGCCCAAGCAUUUUGGCCAGGACUGUAGGCUUUUGAAAUGAUCUACAGACUACUCUUGCCUUGAGAUAAAAAGUAACGUAUUAUAUCAUGGUUGAUGAAAUUGCGGACUACCCGCUUGAUUUAAAAGUAAAAUAAAAAAUUCCUUGUACUGUUCUAUCUUUAGGCAUUAAAAUAUUGAUAUCACUUUUCACAGCACUUUAUACAAAAUUCACAACACUUUUAUACAAAUAUCAUGUACAUAAAUUUAGAUAUCAUUUUGAUAACAUCUAGGAAAUAUCAAUUUGUUAAUUGAACAUACUGUCGCAAAUAAUAUGCAGAAGCAAUUCUUAAAAUAAUAGUAAUAAUAAUAACCCGUUUUUAUAUAGCGCUUUUCACACCCGGAGGGCAUCCCAAAGU